AGAGAGAGACAUGCGUGCAUAUCAAUAAGCGGAGGAAAAGAAACUAACAUAGGAUUCCCUCAGUAACGGCGAGUGAAGCGGGAAGAGCUCAAAUUUGAAAUCUUCAAGGUUCUACCUUGACGAAUUGUAGUUUAAAGAAGUGUUUUCUGUUGAGGUUUUGGUAAAAGUUCUUUGGAAUAGGACAUCAUAGAGGGUGAGAAUCCCGUAUUUGACCAUUACUUUCAACUUUGUGACUACACUUUCAAAGAGUCGGAUUGUUUGGGAAUGCAGUCCAAAAUGGGUGGUAAAUUUCAUCUAAAGCUAAAUACUGGCGAGAGACCGAUAGCGAACAAGUACCGUGAGGGAAAGAUGAAAAGAACUUUGAAAAGAGAGUUAAACAGUACGUGAAAUUGUCAAAAGGGAAGCGUUUGACACCAGUGUUGUUUUCUCGAAAAUCAAUUAAAAAGAGUUAGAUUUUGUUGUGUAUUGACCUUAUCAGCUUCUGCAUUUCAUUUUCUUGUCUUUUUUAAUGCACUUUUCGUUUAACAAGUCAACAUCAAUUUCUUUUGUUGUAAAAGGGUCAUUGGAAGGUGGCUUUCUUUUCGGAGAAAGUGUUUAUAGCCUUUGACUCCUGCAAUCGGAGAGACUGAGGUCUGCAGCGUAGAUCCUUCGGGGUUAGAUACAUUUGUGCUAAGUUAUAGCUUUUUAUAGACAACUUGUUGACUAUGAUUAGUCUUGUAGCUUACUCGCUUAUGCUAUUUUACCUACGCUUAGGAUGUUGAUGUGAUACUGCGAGCA
rnacentral:rRNA from 1 species